UGAUAAUAAGGAGAAUAGGAGCUGCGAUAGUUGUAACGGUUCGGAAGUUCCCCACUCCUAUUCUUGGCAGUUGGCAAGGCCGUCAGAAGGUGUCUCUUGCCCUAUGGAGCUAACCAAUGUGAAUCUUGCCCUAUAGAACUCCCAUCCCGUGACACUCGAGGUAGGAGGAAAACUAUCUCGAGCCAAAGCAAAACAACGCAGAUUUCCCAUGUCCCAAAGGACAAGGGAAGCACAUGAAAAGCGCGAAGCAAAAAAUCAAGAAAGAAAACCGGAGCUGAAAUCAGGAGAGAUGAAUAAAAUAUAAUUAAAUAUUUCUUUUUUUAAUUAAUAUGAUACUUUUAAAUUAUUUAGAUGCAUACGCCUGACCAUAGAAAAGUCUUGCUUCAAACAAAGUUAAAAUUGAAUUUUCUUUCACUUUAUUUUAAAAGUGCGUGAUAUUCUCCGCCAAAUUAAGAGGGGUCCACAUUCUGAUCACAAUCUGAUCACAUCAUGUGGCUUUUCACAUUUUCAGUUUGUGCAUAAUCUUCUUAGGGAAGAGGUGAAAUCGCCUUCUUAUUGUUCCUGUAUGAGAUUAUUUGAGUUUCCAAUCAAUGUCAUCUCCAAAUGAUUGAAACAUUAUUAUUGAUUAUUGAAUGUUUCAAACUUUCAAUAUUCCGAUGUCUUUUCUCACUAUAUUUUGAAAAUAAUAUGUAUCCCUCUGUAUUUUAUGAAAAAUAUUUAUUUUAAAAAUAUAUAUUUUUUAACAUUUAGAAUGCUUAGAAAAUUCUUAUAUGAAAUUAUUUGAGUUUCCAAUCAAUGUCAUCUCCAAAUGAUUGAAACAUUAUUAUUGAUUAUUGAAUGUUUCAAACUUUCAAUAUUCCGAUGUCUUUUCUCACUAUAUUUUGAAAAUAAUAUGUAUCCCUCUGUAUUUUAUGAAAAAUAUUUAUUUUAAAAAUAUAUAUUUUUUAACAUUUAGAAUGCUUAGAAAAUUCUUAUAUGAA
rnacentral:misc_RNA from 1 species